GACGUAGGGCGCGAGCGUUGUCCGGAUUUAUUGGGCGUAAAGAGCUCGUAGGCGGCUUGUCGCGUCGACUGUGAAAUCCCGAGGCUCAACCUCGGGUCUGCAGUCGAUACGGGCAAACUAGAGUAUUGCAGGGGAGACUGGAAUUCCUGGUGUAGCGGUGAAAAUGCGCAGAUAUCAGGAGGAACACCGGUGGCGAAGGCGGGUCUCUGGGCAAUAACUGACGCUGAGGAGCGAAAGCGUGGGGAGCGAACAGG
rnacentral:rRNA from 1 species